rnacentral:lncRNA from 11 species
GCAAUAUUGUUUUGUCCGAACAAUACAGUAUGCCAAUGAAGUGGUACUUUUCCUUUUUUUUUUUUCGAGCUGCUAAUAACGACGACGACAUGUGGUAUAGCAAAUGUGAAACUCGGUGACUUAAUUUAGCUUUAGUUACUGGCCAAUAAAAUCGGGCGAUCUAAACAUUUGCUCCGCACUCGAACUAAACGUCUCCAUGUGGUCUCUUUCACAUAAACGUUGUCUCUUUCCGCUUUCUCAUGAUAGCACAUGUGAUGGAACUAUCGCUAGAAACGUAUUUGUAAACUGCUGUCGAGGGAAAUACAUGGCGCAAUCGUUGUUGACGACAGCACGUAUGUAGUAUGGACAGUCAAGCCGUUACGCGCAGUCCAUUCAGUAUCGUAUUUAGUCUUCCCCCGUGCACGAAGAGAUUUAAGAUGUUUUAGAACAAUCAUCGCUACUCUUAACUAUGCAAUGCCAACGAUCUUAUUGUGACCACAGAUUAUUUUGUAGUGAUUUUCGUAUUUCUACUACGAUGCGAAUGUUUCAGGAGUUCUACAUUUCUUCAAUGCGAUUAUGGAAAAACGCCAAUACAGUAGAAUAAUUCAGACGAAAAUGCUGCCCCAAUAUGAGAACGGCUUCUGGUUGGAAAUUGUGUGUCUACGAUAUAUAUGAAACCGUACCUAGUUCGAUUGAUGACACAGUCGAGUUUAUAACAUAUCCAGACGAACUAGUAUCGAUGUGGCUCGCUUUCAAAUUAAUACUGUCAUUAUUAUUAGCGUUCCACGAGUGCAUUUUUAGUGAAGGAUUAUAGCGCCUGCAAGAAGCUAUUAGCAUCAGGCUAGCGGCAUGGCGUCGGACAUGGCGUGAGACGAAGGUGGACUACGUCAACAUACGGAUUACGUGACCACCAACGCUGAAUUGGCCCAUCGACAAGACGUAAAAUUAAAAAUAUGUCUAACAUAAGACGACAAUCGAAGAUAUGAUCGAGCCACAGUAAUUAACUCAGUCCUAGCAAAUACAAGCCAUUCAGCAUCAACAUCGCGGGAGCUUAGGUCAGAGGGAGAUCCGCCCGAAUUUGCUCCUAUUCUAAAUUGUAUUCAACCGUAAUUCAAGGUAGCAUUUCGGCCUCGGUAAGUGGAACCCUAUUAAAGCUGGCGGUGCAGCAGCGCGCUGGCCGGGCCUUGCUCCGGCGAGCGGAUGAUCGUUCAAGGAUCCACCGACCAAGAAAAUCAAACACGUUCCCAGCUCGAGGAAGGCUAUUCCCCGCAGUACAGUUCGCCGAUGUGCCAAAUGCGCCUCAAGGCUGCCGCUGGAUAUUUCCGACUGCCAACCUAAGCAUGCUAAAUUUAGAUUGGGCUAAAGAGUCUAAGGAAUCAUCUCCUGACGAGACCUUUGCAGCUCGAGAAGGAACUGCGCGAAUUGCUCGCGCGCUCUACCGGGGUGACGUUAUACCAGGCUGGAGUUUUGGUCGUGGCGACUGCCAGAUUACGUGGGGUGGCCAGGCCGUAUCGGUAUUUGGUCCUGGAAGAGUACAAAUAUUGGAGGGGUGCUCUAUAAACUCUCUAA